rnacentral:rRNA from 1 species
CAAGGAAGGCAGCAGGCGCGCAAAUUACCCACUCCCGGCACGGGGAGGUAGUGACGAAAAAUAACGAUACGGGACUCAUCCGAGGCCCCGUAAUCGGAAUGAGUACACUUUAAAUCCUUUAACGAGGAUCAAUUGGAGGGCAAGUCUGGUGCCAGCAGCCGCGGUAAUUCCAGCUCCAAUAGCGUAUAUUAAAGUUGUUGCGGUUAAAAAGCUCGUAGUCGAAUCUGUGUCGCGCGCCGCCGGUUCAUCGCUCGCGGUGUCAACUGGCGUGUCGCGGGACGUCCUGCCGGUGGACGCGGCCACGUCUUCGGGCGUGGCGGUCCAACUUCAACAAUCCCACCGCGGUGCUCUUCGCUGAGUGUCGAGGUGGGCCGGCACGUUUACUUUGAACAAAUUAGAGUGCUUAAAGCAGGCUAAAAUUUCGCCUGAAUACUGUGUGCAUGGAAUAAUGGAAUAGGACCUCGGUUCUAUUUUGUUGGUUUUCGGAACCCCGAGGUAAUGAUUAAUAGGAACGGAUGGGGGCAUUCGUAUUGCGACGUUAGAGGUGAAAUUCUUGGAUCGUCGCAAGACGAACUUAAGCGAAAGCAUUUGCCAAAAACGUUUUCAUUGAUCAAGAACGAAAGUUAGAGGUUCGAAGGCGAUCAGAUACCGCCCUAGUUCUAACCAUAAACGAUGCCAGCUAGCGAUCCGCCGACGUUCCUCCGAUGACUCGGCGGGCAGCUUCCGGGAAACCAAAGCUUUUGGGUUCCGGGGGAAGU